GCCUCGGUGGCUCAGUGGUAGAGCGGCUGCCUCGUAAGCAGCAAGUCGGGGGUUCAAAUCCCCCUCGGGGCU
rnacentral:tRNA from 3 species